rnacentral:rRNA from 1 species
UACGUAGGGGGCAAGCGUUGUCCGGAUUUAUUGGGCGUAAUGAGCGUGUAGGCGGCUGGGUAGGUCCGUUGUGAAAACUCGAGGCUCAACCUCGAGACGCCGAUGGAAACCCCCCAGCUAGAGUCCGGAAGAGGAGAGUGGAAUUCCUGGUGUAGCGGUGAAAUGCGCAGAUAUCAGGAAGAACACCCGUGGCUAAGGCGGCUCUCUAGUACGGUACUGACGCUGAGACGCGAAAGCGUGGGGAGCGAACAGG